GGGGAUUUAGCUCAGUGGCAGAGCGCUUGCCUAGCAAGCACAAGGCCCUGGGUUCGGUCCCCAGCUCCG
rfam:Rattus norvegicus chromosome 7, whole genome shotgun sequence.